rnacentral:rRNA from 1 species
GACGAACGCUGGCGGCGUGCCUAACACAUGCAAGUCGAACGGAGUAAAGAGCUUCGGUUUUUUACUUAGUGGCGAACGGGUGAGUAACGCGUGAGAAACCUGCCUUUCAGUGGGGGACAACAGUUGGAAACGACUGCUAAUACCGCAUAAUGUUUCGAGAGGGCAUCCUCUUGAAACCAAAGCUUAAUGUGCUGAAAGAUGGUCUCGCGUCUGAUUAGCUAGUUGGUGAGGUAACGGCUCACCAAGGCGACGAUCAGUAGCCGGUCUGAGAGGAUGAACGGCCACAUUGGGACUGAGAUACGGCCCAGACUCCUACGGGAGGCAGCAGUGGGGAAUAUUGGGUAAUGGGGGAAACCCUGACCCAGCAACGCCGCGUGAAGGAAGAAGGCCUUCGGGUUGUAAACUUCUUUUAGCAGGGACGAACAACGUGACGGUACCUGCAGAAAAAGCAACGGCUAACUACGUGCCAGCAGCCGCAGUAACAC